GACGAACCGUGCGAACGUUGUUCGGAAUCACUGGGCUUAAAGGGCGCGUAGGCGGGCCGGCCGGUCGGCGGUGAAAGCCCCCAGCUCAACUGGGGAAGCGCCGCCGAUACCGCCGGCCUCGAGGGGGGUAGGGGCGUGCGGAACUUCCGGUGGAGCGGUGAAAUGCGUAGAUAUCGGAAGGAACACCGGUGGCGAAGGCGGCACGCUGGGCCCGCCCUGACGCUGAGGCGCGAAAGCCAGGGGAGCGAACGGG
rnacentral:rRNA from 1 species